AUGAACGCUAGCUACAGGCUUAACACAUGCAAGUCGAGGGGCAGCAUGGUCUUAGCUUGCUAAGGCCGAUGGCGACCGGCGCACGGGUGAGUAACACGUAUCCAACCUGCCGUCUACUCUUGGACAGCCUUCUGAAAGGAAGAUUAAUACAAGAUGGCAUCAUGAGUCCGCAUGUUCACAUGAUUAAAGGUAUUCCGGUAGACGAUGGGGAUGCGUUCCAUUAGAUAGUAGGCGGGGUAACGGCCCACCUAGUCUUCGAUGGAUAGGGGUUCUGAGAGGAAGGUCCCCCACAUUGGAACUGAGACACGGUCCAAACUCCUACGGGAGGCAGCAGUGAGGAAUAUUGGUCAAUGGGCGAGAGCCUGAACCAGCCAAGUAGCGUGAAGGAUGACUGCCCUAUGGGUUGUAAACUUCUUUUAUAAAGGAAUAAAGUCGGGUAUGGAUACCCGUUUGCAUGUACUUUAUGAAUAAGGAUCGGCUAACUCCGUGCCAGCAGCCGCGGUAAUACGGAGGAUCCGAGCGUUAUCCGGAUUUAUUGGGUUUAAAGGGAGCGUAGAUGGAUGUUUAAGUCAGUUGUGAAAGUUUGCGGCUCAACCGUAAAAUUGCAGUUGAUACUGGAUAUCUUGAGUGCAGUUGAGGCAGGCGGAAUUCGUGGUGUAGCGGUGAAAUGCUUAGAUAUCACGAAGAACUCCGAUUGCGAAGGCAGCCUGCUAAGCUGCAACUGACAUUGAGGCUCGAAAGUGUGGGUAUCAAACAGGAUUAGAUACCCUGGUAGUCCACACGGUAAACGAUGAAUACUCGCUGUUUGCGAUAUACUGCAAGCGGCCAAGCGAAAGCGUUAAGUAUUCCACCUGGGGAGUACGCCGGCAACGGUGAAACUCAAAGGAAUUGACGGGGGCCCGCACAAGCGGAGGAACAUGUGGUUUAAUUCGAUGAUACGCGAGGAACCUUACCCGGGCUUAAAUUGCAGAUGAAUUACGGUGAAAGCCGUAAGCCGCAAGGCAUCUGUGAAGGUGCUGCAUGGUUGUCGUCAGCUCGUGCCGUGAGGUGUCGGCUUAAGUGCCAUAACGAGCGCAACCCUUGUUGUCAGUUACUAACAGGUUCCGCUGAGGACUCUGACAAGACUGCCAUCGUAAGAUGUGAGGAAGGUGGGGAUGACGUCAAAUCAGCACGGCCCUUACGUCCGGGGCUACACACGUGUUACAAUGGGGGGUACAGAGGGCCGCUACCACGCGAGUGGAUGCCAAUCCCAAAAACCUCUCUCAGUUCGGACUGGAGUCUGCAACCCGACUCCACGAAGCUGGAUUCGCUAGUAAUCGCGCAUCAGCCACGGCGCGGUGAAUACGUUCCCGGGCCUUGUACACACCGCCCGUCAAGCCAUGGGAGCCGGGGGUACCUGAAGUGCGUAACCGCGAGGAGCGCCCUAGGGUAAAACUGGUGACUGGGGCU
rnacentral:rRNA from 1 species